rnacentral:rRNA from 1 species
AGCAGUCGCCGCGGUAAUACGUAGGUGGCAAGCGUUGUCCGGAAUUAUUGGGCGUAAAGGGCUCGCAGGCGGUUUCUUAAGUCUGAUGUGAAAGCCCCCGGCUCAACCGGGGAGGGUCAUUGGAAACUGGGAAACUUGAGUGCAGAAGAGGAGAGUGGAAUUCCACGUGUAGCGGUGAAAUGCGUAGAGAUGUGGAGGAACACCAGAGGCGAAGGCGACUCUCUGGUCUGUAACUGACGCUGAGGAGCGAAAGCGUGGGGAGCGAACAGGAUUAGAUACCCCGGUAGUCCCUGUCUCUUAUAC